rnacentral:snRNA from 1 species
AUAUUUUUCUCCGCCUUUUGGAUAAGAUCAAGUGUAAUACCUGUUUUUAUUAGUUUAAUAUCUGAUGAUAUGUAGGCCAUGUGCUCACAAUGAUAUUAAAUUUAUUUUUUAUGAAGGAGGGUUCAUCACAAUGGCUUACCAUUAGAACCCUCGUGUAUCGUCUAGGCAUUGCACUAUUGCCUGGCUCGGCGCACCCCAA